rnacentral:lncRNA from 1 species
GGACAGGGCAGCGGCACGCAGCGGCGGGCCAGGCACUGCACGUUGCCGCUCUACGGACCGACAGACGCACCACGGACUCACCCUGAAUUUUUUCUUGUGCAAGAUCCAAGAACCCUUUCUUGGGGUCUGGAUCAGGACUCCUUUCCUGUAACAUCUUUCUGGCGACCACUGAAGGGAUGAUAGUGCGGAAACCCCCGACCCAAAGGCUAAUUUUUGGUCACAAUUGGAGAAACUGGCUAUUUUACCAAGGCUUCGACUGGAAUGGCAUACCUUAAGGAAUCAUGUAAGGAAUCAUGAUUCCUUAAGGAAUCAAAUUUGACUUGUAGAGCCAAUAAAUGCCCCUUGGAGAAACCGGCCUCAUACCUUGCCUACACAGUCUCUGUACAGGGUUUCUGACCUGUGAUAUCAACUUUUGUUGGAACUCAGAGUUAUGAAUGGCCCUCGCCAUGCCGAUGCUUUCUGAUUAAGCACCUCUGUACCCUGAACACAAGAGAGAGAGACCCUAAUAGUUAGGCAGGAAUAUCAUUGCCCCUAUUCAGCCUGAAGAAAUUACAAAAGAUGGAUUUUUGUCCCUCUGCACCCCUUAGGAUCAAGGGUUCUCUUAUAAAAGGGAGAGGGAAAAUGUCAGAGGCAUUUGAACCAGAGCAACUCCAUCUUA